GAUGAACGCUGGCGGCGUGCUUAACACAUGCAAGUCGAACGGUGAAGGCGGAGCUUGCUCUGCUGGAUCAGUGGCGAACGGGUGAGUAACACGUGAGCAAUCUGCCCCUGACUCUGGGAUAAGCGCUGGAAACGGCGUCUAAUACUGGAUACGAGCUGCGAAGGCAUCUUCAGCAGCUGGAAAGAAUUUCGGUCAGGGAUGAGCUCGCGGCCUAUCAGCUUGUUGGUGGGGUAAUGGCUCACCAAGGCGUCGACGGGUAGCCGGUCUGAGAGGGUGACCGGCCACACUGGGACUGAGACACGGCCCAGACUCCUACGGGAGGCAGCAGUGGGGAAUAUUGCACAAUGGGCGAAAGCCUGAUGCAGCAACGCCGCGUGAGGGACGACGGCCUUCGGGUUGUAAACCUCUUUUAGCAGGGAAGAAGCGAAAGUGACGGUACCUGCAGAAAAAGCGCCGGCUAACUACGUG
rnacentral:rRNA from 1 species